GGGGCUGAGGCUCAGUGGUAGAGCACUUGCCUAGCAUGUAUGAGGCACUGGGUUCAAUCCUCAGCACCA
rnacentral:tRNA from 1 species